rnacentral:rRNA from 1 species
CCUACGGGUGGCAGCAGUGGGGAAUAUUGCACAAUGGGGGAAACCCUGAUGCAGCAACGCCGCGUGAAGGAAGACGGUUUUCGGAUUGUAAACUUCUGUUCUUAGUGAAGAAUAAUGACGGUAGCUAAGGAGCAAGCAACGGCUAACUACGUGCCAGCAGCCGCGGUAAUACGUAGGUGGCAAGCGUUGUCCGGAAUUACUGGGUGUAAAGGGAGCGCAGGCGGGAAGCCAAGUCAGCUGUUAAAACUACGGGCUUAACUUGUAGACUGCAGUUGAAACUGGUUUUCUUGAGUGAAGUAGAGGUUGGCGGAAUUCCGGGUGUAGCGGUGAAAUGCGUAGAUAUUAGGAGGAACACCAGUUGCGAAGGCGGCUCUCUGGACUGUAACUGACACUGAGGCACGAAAGCGUGGGGAGCAAACAGGAUUAGAUACCCCGGUAGUC